rnacentral:rRNA from 1 species
UACGUAGGGUGCGAGCGUUGUCCGGAAUUAUUGGGCGUAAAGGGCUCGUAGGCGGUCUGUCGCGUCGGGAGUGAAAACUCAGGGCUUAACCCUGAGCCUGCUUCCGAUACGGGCAGACUAGAGGUAUGCAGGGGAGAACGGAAUUCCUGGUGUAGCGGUGGAAUGCGCAGAUAUCAGGAGGAACACCGGUGGCGAAGGCGGCGACCUGGUUCAUUACUGACGCUGAGGCGCGAAAGCGUGGGGAGCAAACAGG